rnacentral:lncRNA from 1 species
ACUUGAGGCUGUGGAAGCCGCGUGCCUGGGGCGUAGACAGGGCUUAGAUCUUUUAGAAGAAAAGAAACCGAUUGCGGUAAAUCCUCUGGACUACGCCGGGUCCUCGGAAGCUGUGCGCUAACCAAAAUCCCCGACGCUGGCAGUUGCCAUUGUUCCCCAGAGGCAUCCACACUAAUGGGACCCAAGUAUUGUGCAGCUUCAUUUUACAGUGAGGAAACUCAGUGUAUGCAGGAUAGGGAACUCUACAUGGACCACAGAAGGCAAAAGCCUGCUGCUUUCCUGUGCAGGGUGGAGUGUACUAAGUUAGCAUCCUGUGAUGUACUUGCCCCAGCCAGCAACAGCAGAGAAGCACACAGGUAACACAGCUCCUUGAAGUUGGACCCUCCAGUGUUGUGUCAUUUGCCUUUCUUUUCUCAAGGGUUGUUGAAGAACCAAGACCAGGUACAUUUCAGCAGUUUCAUGCCCAAUGGUAUCCUGAAGCAGACGUAUACAGUGAUGGCCUGAGAGUCAUCUGGCCAGUGCUCCCAGGCACUGCCUGCCAGUAGCCCCAACCACAUCUGUGCAGCACAGUCCUCAGGACCUACACCAACAUCCCUUGAAAAAAAACAACAGUGUCUUUGUGGGUUUUAGGGUUUUUUUGUUGUUUUUUACAUGAAGAGUAGUCUAAACAAAAAUUUACAAAGCUCACUGAACUUAAAAGACUCUGGAAGUGUUGAUCAGCAAAAAGGCUGUGCUUUCAAACCAAAACAUGCCACAGAUGGCACCCAAAAGCAGGCAAUCUGUGAGCCUUCAGUGUGUUGUACACUCCUGGCUGACAUUGUUUAGGACACCCGUGAACAGAAUGAGUGCUACAGGGCAUGCUCUGGGAGAAACAGUCUCUUCAUCUUCCUUGCCUAAUGCCUCAAUAAGCCAGGGAGCCUGGUGGGCUUCCCAGUGUCAUUAGCCGUGUGGAUCAUGUGGUCUCCUGGGAUGCCUGGUUUCGGUAGCCUCAAAGUUUCCCACUCACAGCUUUCUUGGAGAAAGGACAGUGGGGCAGAGCCCACAACCACUGUCACCACUUAUAAAAAGCAUUUCCCUUAUAAAUGGGACCCACCUGCUCCCUAAGGAAUUUCUAGCACCUAAGUAGCCUAUCACAAUCCAAGUGUCUCUGCCUGCCCUGAAAUAAGCCAAGAACUCUGAUAAGCAGAACAUGCCACAACUUGGCCCAGGAGAUGAGAAACCCAGCCGGGGUGCAAGCAGCAUGCAGACUACUCACUGUACCCCAUAAAGCACUCCAGAGCAUGGAACUGCAGCAGAAAUUGAAAUCUGCGUGCACAGCUAACCUCUUCAGCAACAGAAGCUACCUGAGCGCAAAGAGAAUGGCUCUGUACAACACCCACACACUGUCCUUUGGCUUUUGGUCAGAACUCCACAGACUGUCCAGUGCACAGGCCCUUCUUGAGUGCAUGGAGCUCCCAUGAGUGUCAUCUGUGAGUUUGCCACUGCUCUACCCAUGUAACUGGAAAACUUGUAAGCCAGACACAACUUUCCAUUUCUACCAUCAAUCCUCACAGGAGGGUUUUGGUGUCCAAGUGUCUGAGGACAGCAAGUUGGGUGGGAGUCCUCCACCUGGCCUCUCUUUGAUAGAAGAGUUGCUAAGAACACCAGCUGCAGGGGACUGGAAAUGACCCAACACCAUGGGAGGAAACACAGUACUUGGUCCACACCUUGUGCAGAAGGCAGAUCUCAAACAAGAGCAAGCCAGCUUUCCAGGAACUGUUUAAGAAGCAGGCUCCAGAGCCAGCUGAAUACAGGCAGUGAAGCUGUGUGUAUACUCAGGCUGUUAAGAACAGAUGGUGGGAGCCACCUGGUAUCCUGCACUAGCCCAAAGCACAACCAGGUGCCUGCCUGAGCCCAGCUCCUCUCCCAGGAGCCUGGGAAACCACAGACAACAUAUUGUGCAUUAACCAGGCCAUGCAGAAACACCCACAGGAACCCGGCCUGGCUUCUAGGGCAGGUUCAUGAUGCAGAAAGUCCCUACAUGCCUGCCUAUGUACACAUCAUACACAUGAAUAAGUAAAUAAAUGUUAUUUAUAUAAAUAGCUUUUACAGCCCAUCCUGUUGUCCUCAGACACUUGGUCACCAUAACCCCAUCUGCCUGAGACCAAUGGCAUAGAACUUACUACACAAUUCACCUAGAACUGUCUUCAGAGCAGCUGAGGGUGACCAAAGCACUUUGGAGGCACCACACAAGGACAGCUCCCUGUCACCUAGUGGAAACAAGAUGCAUUAACUGGGGACAGGCAGGCAGUGCUCAGGGACCAAGCACCAUGAGCUCCACUCAGCAUGACAUGUGUCUCUAUACACACCAGGGUGCCAGCUAGCCUGGCUCAUGACCAACCUCAUUUGCUCCCUGUGCAGUUGGCACAUACCUGCCUCCAUAAUGUUAGUGUCAUCAGUAAGAUGUGGACACUUGUGUGAACAAGCAAGGAAAGAAAGCAGUAGAGAGGAGAGAAGAUGGGGCAGAUAGGUGGCUAUCAUCUGAAAAGCAGGUUAAGUGGGUAGAGUAAGGCCAAAAGGGAAAGCCCAAACCACAGUAAACAGAUAAAGCAGCUAGCCCUGGAGAACCCCAGUCACUGAAAAGAGCAAUCAGUUCUUAUCAGCUCUGGACAGGAGGUUCUGGCCAAUGCAAGUGGGCAAGAAAAAGACAGAAGAGGCCUUCCAAACAGGAAUGAGGAAUGAGUGCCCACACCCUGCAUUCAUGUUAGUUCUUGGGAAGCACUUAGGGCAUCUGAGCAGAGCUACAGGACAGAGCAUUUCCACCACAGGUUCACAAGCUAAAGACUCCAAGUCAAACCCCUACUGACAAAUAAAUAUGAAAGGCCCAAGAGAUGACUCAGUGAGUAAAAGUGUACACAACCAAACCAGACAACCCAAGUUUAAUCCCAUAUCCCCAGAUUGUCCCAUGACCUCCACUUAUGCACAUGCACAAAAUAAAUUAAUGUUAAAUU